GCCAAAGUUGUGAAAUGAUGCACAUUUCCUUUUUGAAAAGGGACGAGAAGCAGGUUCGAUUCCCGUUUUUUGCA
rnacentral:tRNA from 1 species